rnacentral:lncRNA from 1 species
AAGACUGCGGCCCGGGGCUAGGCUUUGGGGUAAGGUUGGCCUGCUGCCGAAUUGACCACGUGACUGCCACUGCUGGCGGAGAAGGCUCUCGGUUGCUGGUGCAGGGGGUGGAUUUCCUAUGGCGCAGCGACAGGCUGAGGUGGCCAGGGGAGGAGACAGUGGGCGCUAUGAGCUACAUGCAGAAGUGGGAGGAGAUCACAGCACUCGACUUGACCUCGAAGGUAGCAGACCUGAGUUUAGAGGAGGCAUGGCCAGAGCCUUCUGGCAGGACACAACUGGAGGUGAGUUCCUGUGGGAAAGGGAAGCGCCCAUGACUGGCACCGCGCCUGGCAGUUGCCACUAGUCCGCUAAACGCUGCGCAGCUGUUAUGGACGGAACCCCUGGUGCAAGCAGAGAGGGCCUUAACUCUGCGGCCAGAGAUUAUUUUUAAACCUAGGCUGAACUGUGUCACCGUCUCCAAGAACGAGAGCUCAGGCGUGCCUAGGGGAGCUGUCCUCCCUUGUCCCCGUGGGGGGGCCCUCCUAGCCCUAGUAAGCCGCUCCUACCGUGCCGCUAGGGGAGCCCUGGGACUCUCUCGCUAGGGCAGGGCCCUGGGGAAGGCAACAACUAGGCUGCUUUGCAGAGCUGAGCCGCCCAAGCAGUCACUUGAACGAGGCGGGAAUUUGUCAGCCGCUUUGGCAGCGCAGGUCCCUUCUGGGGGCAUUGGUGGAGACUAGGCCCGUCCGGCCGCCCUCCCUCCUCCUGCCUGCCUGGCUGCCGCUUCCCUGCACCCAGGACUGCGAGAUAGAGCGCUCCUGCAGCCGGCAGCUCCGAUGGAGCGCAGGCUCCGGGGUGCAAGGCCUCAGCUUGGCCUCGGGCCCAGUCAGCUCAGGCCCAGCUGCAUUGGCCUCGCUGCUGCUGCCCCUGCCGCCCAGGCGCCAGCGCAGGCCACACUCUCCGCCCAGGUGUCACUGGCCUUGGCCUGCUGCUUCUCACCCUCUCCUGCCCCACGCCUCCUGGGAUCUCUGGGCCCCAAGUGGUGGUUUGUCAUGCGAGGGACAAAGGGCUCUAGUCCCAUUCAUUUACUCGUUUAUUUAUUGUUUUGAGACAGGGCCUCCCUAUGUACUUCAGGCCAGUCUUCAACUCAUGGAGCCCAGACUGGUCUCGAACUCUCAGGGAUCCUCCUGCUUCAGCCUCCCCCGUGCUGAGAUUAUAGGCAUUUGGUACCACGCCUGGCCGUAUUUUCAUUUUUCUACUUUGAGGGAGGAAAAAGAUUUUUAGUGUGCAGAGGAAAUAAUGACAUGGCCUUUUAUCAUUGAAAGAACUGACCUUAUGCACUUUGCACUGUUCCAUGAAAUACUCAGCACUAUAAUUUUCCCCUGGAAUCUGAGCAGGCUGGUAUGGAAUUGUGUUGGGGUGUGGAGGGUCCCCCUUAUGAGACACUUAUUGCAAGGGAUGUGCAAGAGUUUCUUCCGAAGUCUUCGAAUGGCGGCAGCGAUGACCGUGAUCAGGAAUCUUCGCAUCAGUGAAGAACUCUGCUCCUGUAUGACCAGAGAGAAUGUUGGGAGGAACGUACAAUUUUCACAGCAACAUGAAGAACCAUUGUUUGUCUCUUUUCUGUUUUUUAAGCUUUACAAAUGUGUGGAAUCAGAAG